rnacentral:rRNA from 1 species
AUUGAACGCUGGCGGCAUGCUUUACACAUGCAAGUCGAACGGCAGCGGGGAGGAGCUUGCUUCUCUGCCGGCGAGUGGCGAACGGGUGAGUAAUACAUCGGAACGUGUCGAGAAGAGGGGGAUAACCACCCGAAAGGGUGGCUAAUACCGCAUAAAUUCUGAGGAAGAAAGCUGGGGACCUAGGAAUAGGCCUAGCGCUUUUUGAGCGGCCGAUGUCGGAUUAGCUAGUUGGUGAGGUAAAGGCUCACCAAGGCGAAGAUCUGUAGCGGGUCUGAGAGGAUGAUCCGCCACACUGGGACUGAGACACGGCCCAGACUCCUACGGGAGGCAGCAGUGGGGAAUUUUGGACAAUGGGGGCAACCCUGAUCCAGCCAUGCCGCGGGUAUGAAGAAGGCCUUAGGGUUGUAAAGUACUUUUGUUAGGGAAGAAAAGUCAGCUGUGAAUAAUGGCUGAUACUGACGGUACCUAAAGAAUAAGCACCGGCUAACUACGU